UGGGCAACUGGGCAAGGGAGCCCUUGCCCACCCUGCCCCAACAUCCUCCUGAGACCGUGAGCAAUGAACACUUGCUGCAUGGAUCCUUUCUACUCUAAUCACCCUAUUAGCUUGGCUUAUGUGUUCAAACUCAGAUGUGAGCCUUGAGCCUCCUGGUCCCCCUGCCGCCACACUGAAGACUGACAUUCCCAAGGGCAGGGCCGAGGCUCCUGAGCCAGUGCGGUCACAGGGACCAGAGCUGCCCAUUGAGGCAUCCGGAGCAGCCGUGACAGAGCUCAGGGUGCUGGUUUAGGCUUCAUCCCCACACCCUCAGCCUUGGACCUGUGUGAGGAGGGACUGAGGGAUCCUGCCAACAAGUAAACUCAGCUCCGAGCUGCUCAAGGUCCACACCCCAGAUGUCAUCUGAGGACAGAUGUUGGAUUCUCCUCUGCCCCUUCCCCAGAGCUUCGGCAGGCACCGUCCGAUGGAGCUGGACCUUGGGUUCAGGCCAAUGGGGACAGAGUAACCUUGUGGAGAUUCGGCCAGAAAGGUGCAGCCACCACCUUGGGUCCACCGUGUUUCUGACCCCUGGGAGGCUCCAGAGAAAGCUGCAGCCCGGAUCACAGGAGAAGCAGAAGCCCCUGAAGAGAAAGGGACGUGAAGCCUGAUUGCUUGCUGACUGCUUCCCCCCUCCAAGACCAAGAGGCUGGCAGCCUCAUUCUCAGGGUGGGCCCCACUACCACACUGCCCACACCCUACCCGGACAAUGCCCCUUCUCUGACCCCAAACAUUGUUGCUGGACAGGAACUAAGGAACUCCUCCAGGAGAGAGAGAGAGAGAGUGUGUGUGUGUGGGGAGGUGUGGCAGAAAAAUAUGUGGAGGGGGCCCCCUCUCUUUCAGCAAGGAGCCUGGUCCUGGAACUCGGGCCUGGGGCUGUGAGCAGGGUCUCUGCUUCUGGCUGAUCAGACCAUAUGACGGGAGCAAGGCCUGGGGCCCUUAAUUCUAUAGUCAGGCCAAGCACCCUUCUAUGCUCUGACCUGCAGAGACCCCUGCCUCUCCCCAGACCUUGAGUUCCAGCCCCUCUUAGCUGAAUUGGGGGGACCUGCUGGGUGGAGGAUCAGGGUUAAGAGCAGGGCAGCCUUGGGGGUUGUGUGUAAAGAGCUUGUGGUCCCUCCUGGAGGAGCAGAGUAGGGGGUGGUGAGACCCUAAAAUCUGGGUGGUGGGGUAAGCAAACAGUCUGUGCUCAAGAAAGUGGCAUUGUCCGGUGCCCCUUUCAGGUAAACUCCUGAAGGGCAACCAUCAGCUCUAUUAACCCACCUGUGGGGAAACUCGGAGGCUGUGCCCUCAGUAACUACAAUGGACUGAGCACUGUGCAUGUUGGAUUUUAUUUGCGGAAUAAAGUAGACAUUCCUUACA